GGGCAGGACACUGGGAACAGGGACUGUCGGCCAGGGCAUUUGGGUAGGGGUUGGCUAUAGUCAGCAAGGGCGCAUUACUUAGACCAGGCCUGACGUGGGGAUGAAUGGAGAUCCAGGGCUGCUAGAUCCCAUGGCCUGCAUCAAGGCAGGGACUUAGACAGUGGAGCAAUGAAACACUCACCUUCAUCCUGGCAUGCGACAGCCGUUUAGGAUGGCCCAUCUCACUUGCUCCUUUGCCAUGGUGCCCCAGGCCUUCCACAAGUCAGAAAUGUUCCUGGCUCUCCCACAGGAUCUGGCACCACAUGGAACUGGCUCUUCCCCAAAGUCGAAAUGACGGUGGGAGAGAAUGAUUCAGGACAUGCAGGCAGCCGUGAAGGUGCCACUAAAGACCCACACGAAAGAGGACUUCCUGAGCUGCUGCAGAACCUGGCAAGAAUGAUAGUAUGAGAGUGUGUGAAUUGAGGAGUAUUUUUAGGAGGAUUAAUGGCAAUGUGUCUUUUACCCUAAUAAAUUUUUUUUGUCCCUA
rnacentral:lncRNA from 1 species